UGAUAAGUGUGUAUCGGGCUUUCUCAGA
rnacentral:sRNA from 1 species